GCCCUCAUAGCUCAACGGAAAGAGCAGCUCCGUCCUAAGGAGACGAUGGGGGUUCAAUUCCCUCUGAGGGCACCA
rnacentral:tRNA from 2 species